AUUCAUUAUAACACCCCUCUGGCCGUGAUCCUGUCAGAUCCUGCAAUCUAAGCAGAGUUGGGCCAGGUCAGUGCUGGGACAGGAAACCUCAGGGUGCCGCAGGACACGAUGGAGC
rnacentral:rRNA from 1 species